CGGCGGACGGGUGAGUAAUGUAUGGGGAUCUGCCUGAUGGCGGGGGAUAACUACUGGAAACGGUAGCUAAUACCGCAUAAUGUCUACGGACCAAAGCGGGGGACCUCCGGGCCUCGCGCCAUCAGAUGAACCCAUAUGGGAUUAGCUAGUAGGUAAGGUAACGGCUUACCUAGGCGACGAUCCCUAGCUGGUCUGAGAGGAUGAUCAGCCACACUGGGACUGAGACACGGCCCAA
rnacentral:rRNA from 1 species